GUCCGCACAUGUUAUAUUCCAACUCGAGAGGAUAAGGAUGGCAAAAGCUGUCAUUGACUCGGUACCUUCGAUGGAGUGGGACAUGUGUUGUUCUCUGCACGUGUUCCCUUAUUCCCAAGGGCUGGCUGCUUCUCGAACCAUGAAUUUUGUCUCACGGCCUCCCGAUUCCUUGUCUCAAAAACAUUCCGCAACAGCUCUGAGUGCUACGAACCCGACUGGGUCAUCUGCUGCUGCCGGCUUCCAGACAUUGUUCCGAACAUUUUCAUACUGGAAGGCUGGUGAUGUCCCAAGACAGUGAGAGUGUAGUUUUCUACUGCCUAAUAUUUGGAAUUGGAUCCAAGAAGAGAAGCGUUCCAGUUGAUCACCCGACAGUCACUCAUAGCCCCCUAGCCCAAGAGAGACCGCUUCUGAGAAAGAAUUGAGCGGAGUAGCUGCGAGCA